AGAGGUGGCUGCUGUUGCACAUGGUCAAGCUGGUUACUCCAGUGAUACUGGUUUUGAAGGCAUGAAAGGGUCAUGGAGAGCAGCUGAGGCAGGGGUGGAGUCCUGAAGAAGACCCCAGAAAAGGCCAUUGGUAGAUAACUGAGGCACAGAAUUGAUCCCUGUCUGCGGGAGGAUGCAUGGCUGACAGAUAACAAGAGCUGGCAUGUCAACCCAGGUUGUGUGGUCCCAUAGCUCGUAUCUUCUAUUGUGAUUACCUUGCAUUUCUUAAGUGGUUCUGGAUGGAUAAUCCAUUUGUUUUCAUCUUUCUGAAGUCUCCUUCAACUGAUAUGUUCAGAUGCCAAGGGUCUGGAAUGAAGGGUUAAUUAUCUGACAACCUCAGGUGGGCUGAGCAACUCUGGAAAAGAAAGCUGAGUUGACUGACAACACCUGUGAAAACUUCUAAUCAGGAGACCCACAUAGCAAGCCAGCUGGGAUCAACCACUUCCACAUUGCAGGGGAACUGAGCUGCAGACGGACUCUUCUAUGCUCACAUUUCCCCCUUUUCCAUCCUAUAAAACCCAACACCACCGAUGCCACUUGUGCAUUGUCUCCAUUCCAUAGAGAGUCUGUGGCUUUUCAGUCAUUCUGACUAAAAGACGAUUCUUCUUCUAGAAAUGACGGUCUGCUUUUAUUUCCAUACCACCUCCAUCAAAACCAAUUGUAUUGGCUGCUUUUGUGUGUCAACUUGACACAAGCUAGAGUCUUCAGAGAGGAAGGAGCCUCAGUUAAGGAAAUGCCUCCUUGAGAUUCAGCAUUUUCUCAUUUAGUGAUCA